rnacentral:rRNA from 1 species
UACGUGGGGGGCAAGCGUUGUUCGGAUUUAUUGGGCGUAAAGGGUGCGUAGGCGGUUUGGCAAGUCUUGUGUGAAAUCUUUGGGCUCAACCCAAAGCCUGCACGAGAAACUGCCGGGCUUGAGUAUGGGAGAGGUGAGUGGAAUUUCCGGUGUAGCGGUGAAAUGCGUAGAUAUCGGAAGGAACACCUGUGGCGAAAGCGGCUCACUGGACCAUAACUGACGCUGAGGCACGAAAGCUAGGGGAGCAAAAGGG